GCGAGUGUUGGGAGUUGGGUACAAAACUCAGAUUCAGACGAUUUGGGACAGUAGAAUCUUUUCAGCUUUCAAAUCCAACGAAAGGGUGUUCCUAUUCCAGGUUUGAUUGAUAAAACCCUAAUUGAUUCUCAUUAUUUUGUUGUAAUUGAAGGUAGAUCUGUGAAAUUUAAUCCAAGAAUUUGUUCAUAUUAUGCGAAAAGCUGUUCUUGAAUUUGGGUUAUAAUCUCUACUUGUUUAAAGCUUAAAGUGAAGAUACAUACAUUAUUUAAAUGCUUGUUUGGUUCUUUUUUCCGUAUAAAAUCUUCAAUGUAUACUCGAUAAUUCCUUGAUUUAAUAACUACUGCAUAGCUUUAAUCGUUCUACAAUGAAGCAAAUAUUUACAGAAUCAUGAAAUAUAUAGUUAAAAUGAAUAAUCUUGGUCAGUAAUUUGAUAAACAUGUCAUUGAUUCUACCAAAACAAGUUGUUCAAGGGCAGUGUAGGUUUUACACAACUGGUUAAGCAUCAAUGCUACCUAUAAAAAUGAAUAUUUUUGCUAACUUGAUGAACUAUUUUCCCGCCAUUAAAUAGUUUAGAGAGGCUAUUAAACUUAUUUAAGCAAGUUAUAUUUUGCAACUAAAAAGUUUUCAAGUCUUAGUACUUGUAUGAUAAGUUUCUGCUGAGCAGCUGAGAAAGAGAGGGAAAAGA
rnacentral:misc_RNA from 1 species